rnacentral:rRNA from 1 species
UCGGAGUGAAAGGCUAAUCAAGCUCGGAGAUAGCUGGUUCUCCCCGAAAGCUAUUUAGGUAGCGCCUCGUGUAUCACUGCUGGGGGUAGAGCACUGUUUCGGCUAGGGGGUCAUCCCGACUUACCAAACCGAUGCAAACUCCGAAUACCAGCAAGUGUCAGCACGGGAGACACACGGCGGGUGCUAACGUCCGUCGUGAAAAGGGAAACAACCCAGACCGUCAGCUAAGGU